UGCACGAAUCACUAUGUGACGCACACUACACGAACCUUAUGUGAUUUGCACGAAUCACUAUGUGACGCACACUACACGAACCUUAUGUGAUUUGCACGAAUCACUAUGUGACGCACACUACACGAACCUUAUGUGAUUUGCACGAAUCACUAUGUGACGCACACUACACGAACCUAUGUGACGCACACUACACGAACCUUAUGUGAUUUGCACGAAUCACUAUGUGACGCACACUACACGAACCUUAUGCGAUUUGCAGGAACCUUAUGCGAAACCGCCCGACCACCACUGGGUCACGUGACAUUGCGUCAUUCACAUGAUUUUCAUAAGGUUUGUGUAUUUUCGUAAAGCGAUUCGUGCAUAUCACAUAAUGUUUGUACGGAUCUCAUAGGGUUCGUGCAAAUGAUUAGGCACCCCUGACUGAUCCUUUUGCUGAUGAAUAAGUGAUUGAAAGAUAUGACCUUCGCAUAAUUGUACGAUGUGUCCUACGCAGUCUGUUUUGAGAUUACUGUAUUAUGUCAUAUAGCAGCUAUACUUUUCAAUGUGCAAUUAUGAAUAUCUAUUUGUAUGUGGCUUUGUAACAAUUAUUAAAGAUCUUCCCUCAAAAGGCAAGGAUGUGUAAUUUAAAAAUUAGUUGCGAAACGAUGCCCAUUGCAUGAUGGGUACAUUGUUGUUUAACCAUAAUAUACCCACAAUGCAUUGUAUUUUGAUGAAAGCAUCUAAAAGUACAGAAUGAAGUUGAUUUGUAUGUUUGUAGGUGUGUACUCAAAAGCCAUUUAUUUUGCUUUUAAAACAGUUGAUAAAAGUUCUGCUUGUAAUGAUAGAAUUCUUUGUGCAAAUGAUUCUAUAAGUGAACUAGCAUUACCGAUUUCUAUUAUAUAGAAGUGGUUUAUUUCGGAGAAAUUACUCUUAAUAUGUUGCAUGUGAAAAAUGUGAUUUUUCAUUUCUUGGUCAGUAUGUAGCCUGCCCAAUGUUGAUGUGUGCUCGAGCAACUGUUUGAUAAAUUGUGAUAACACGAUGUGAAAACUUGAA